ACGCGCGCUGGCGGCGGCGGCGGCGGCGCAGUCCCGACCCCGCGCCCGCGGCGCCCCAGCUGCGGCCGCAACGGCCUGGCUGCGGGAUCUGUGCGCAGCGAUGGCGCAGCGGCGCCGGCAGCGCCGGGGAACCUGGACGCCGCUGCUCUUGCUGCUGCUGACCGGGCCCGCCGCCUGCGCCGCCAGCCCUGCGGACGACGGCGCGGGCCCCGGUGGCCGUGGACCCCGGGGCCGCACGCGGGGGGACGUGGGCGCGGACGAGGCGGCGCCGCGCCACGACUCCUCCUACGGCACCUUCGCUGGGGAGUUCUACGACCUACGCUACCUAUCCGAGGAGGGUUACCCUUUCCCUACUGCACCUCCUGUGGAUCCAUUUGCCAAAAUCAAAGUGGAGGACUGUGGAAAAACUAAGGGAUGCUUUAGAUAUGGCAAACCAGGCUGUAACGCAGAGACCUGUGACUACUUCCUUAGCUACCGGAUGAUAGGGGCUGAUGUGGAGUUUGAGCUGAGUGCAGACACAGAUGGUUGGGUAGCAGUUGGAUUCUCUUCUGACAAGAAAAUGGGUGGCGACGAUGUCAUGGCUUGUGUCCAUGACGACAACGGCAGGGUCCGCAUACAGCACUUCUAUAACGUAGGCCAGUGGGCAAAGGAGAUUCAGAGGAAUCCAGCCAGAGAUGAAGAAGGCGUUUUUGAGAACAAUCGGGUUACCUGCAGAUUUAAACGGCCUGUGAACGUUCCCAGAGAGGAAACAAUUGUUGAUCUGCACUUGAGUUGGUAUUAUCUGUUUGCUUGGGGUCCAGCCAUUCAGGGCUCUAUCACCCGACAUGACAUAGACUCACCACCGACUUCAGAGCGUGUUGUCAGUAUUUACAAGUAUGAGGACAUUUUUAUGCCAUCAGCUGCCUAUCAGACCUUCUCCUCUCCGUUCUGUCUGCUUCUCAUUGUUGCCCUGACCUUCUACUUACUGAUGGGAACCCCUUAACCACAGCUGCAAGGCCAACAAAUUCAAUGCAUUAGAAAGUCUUUAGUAUAUUUUUUAAAAAUAUGCAGUAUAAUUUUAGCUUCUGUCGUGUAAAAAAAAAAAGACUCAUAUGAUUUCAGCUUUUUGGAAGAAAGAGCAAGCUUCUUUUCUAAUCGAAGAGGAUUGUUUCAUAAUGACCCUAUACUUCUGGAAAGUCCUUACAGCUUUUCUAAGCACUCGCUUUCAAAUAUGGUUUCUCAUUUGAGCUUCACAACCUCUCUGAGUUGGUUUGAUGGACGUUACUAUUGCCAUCGUACUGAAUGGGACUUAAGACCCAGGAAGGCUCUCUUUUUGUGACCCUCACACUAUGUAGCCUUGGCUCCUUGGUCAGAUAACACAUAGCAAAGCAGAAAAAGCAUAGAAACCAUGUCUCUAAACAACCUUUACUCUUCCAACUACAGCUCAAGAGUUACUUGGAAUAAUACUAAAGAGAACCUCAUUGGAUGGCCCUAGUUCACAGUCAGCCUUUCAGGCAGAAGACCUUUCACAUUUACAUAGAGCAUGAAGGCUUUUGGAUACAAAACUAAUGAAGAGAAUGUUGGAGGUACCAAUGAUACAAAAAUGGUCCAUAUAUAUUUGAAAUGUCUUUUCGCUUAGUAGCUAAGAGAACACAUUUUUCAUUGCUGCUCGGAAAGUUAGAAAUGGAACUAGGACCCCCCAAGUGAUCCUUUGUUCCAACUGUCUGACACAGCCCAUUUAGAGGAAAAUCAUUUAUGGGUAUAAUGACGCUGCUGAGGCAUUUCCACUGUAGAGUUCUGGAGUCUCCUGGCCUGCCCCCAGCACUUUAAAGCAGGCUCCAACUUGGUGGGUUUUGUGAUGAAACAACAGUGGAGACUGUGAUUUCUGAUGUCUUCCUUGGAAUCCACGCCAGAGGUGAAAGGCCCCCCCUUGGGGAGAGGUUUUCAAAUUCUUCUGGAAUGGAACAAAAAUAUGGAAAACAUCCAGAUUCUGUGACAUUGCACAAUGUACCACAUGCAUCCAAGGCAAUGUAGGAGAAAACAAUCCUCACUGCAGAUGGAGAGAGGUUAAAUGACGUCGGGUGUGAUGGAUUCAAACUCAAGCCAUCUGAUUCAAGUCCCCGGCUCCACCUGACUACCCCUGCCUCAUAACCAAGCCCCCCAGCCACACCCGAGGAUGGCCUGUGUGUCACCUUCUAAGCUAGAGCGGCCAGUCUGGAGGACACGGACUAUGCAGGCACCCACCUUGUAAAUAAGAAAGCGAAUAUUUUUCUAUUUCACUCUCUUGCGUGUACAAAUAUUUCAGCUAUAAAUAGGUUAAAACUAAAGUGAGACCUGAGCUAGUCUCUGUAGCAGGCAGGGAAGGAAUACAUUAAAGGGAUUUUCCUUCUGCUUACAUUUCAAGUCAGCUAAUUGUUUCAUGACUUGAUUUUACCUGGGUUACCAUUUGUGCAUAUUUGUGCUUAGAACGUCCAGAGAUUUCUCAUCUCCAUUAGUGUCACAGGCAAACUACUUUGAUUACCUGCACUGUCAUCUUUUGUCAUCACUCCUCACUUGCUCUGUGCCAAUAAGACCUAAUUGCUCUCAGUGCUUCAGACCUGCAUUCUCACCUCUUCCAAUGUUCUCUGUGCUCAGACACGCUCCACUUGCUGAGCUUACUGAACUCCUGUGCAUCUUUCAGGUCACAGCCGAAGUAUUUUUUCCUCCAAUCUCCUGGACUAAGUAGGAGACCCCCAUAGGACACUGAGCUUCCCCAUUAUAGUUCUCAUCACACUUUCCUGUAAUUGCUGGUUCAACUCCCCUGCUAACUCCCUAACCCAGGGACCAUUCCCUGUUACUCCUCAUUGUAGCAGACCCUACUACAUAGUAGGUACUUAGCAAACAUUUGUUGAGUGAAUAAGUAAAUAAUACUUUACUUUUAUGGCAGGUUGGUUUGGUUCAGAAAGCUUGUAUUUCAUACACAUUGCCAGACUAGCCGGCAUUUUUAUAUUCUUCUACCCAUGAUCAUUCCUUUAGCAAACACUGAACUUUUGUCUUUUGAAACAGCGAUAGAAAGAGCUUUAGUUACAGUGCCGUUUUGCCUUGUAAAUAGCUGACAGUAUUUUUUUUCCUUUUUGCUUUUUUAGGGCCGCGCCCAUGGCACAUGGAAGUUCCCAGGCUAGGGGUUGAAUCAGACCUGUAGCCACUGGCCUACACCACAGCUAAAGCAAUGCCAGAUCCAAGCCGAGUCUACAACCUACAUCAAAGCUCACGGCAACGCAGGAUCCAUUAACCCACUGAGUGAGGCCAGGUAUCAAACCCGCAUCCUCAUGGAUGCUAGUCAGGUUUGUUACCACUGAGUCACGACAGGAACUCCAAUAGUUGACAUUUUAAACAAUUAUUGUUCAGAAAUGAGAAUUCAAAGACCAGAGAUGCAGAACAGCAUUUAACCAUCAUCUCAGAGAAUCUUCAAUUUAUAGACAUCCUGAAGUUAAAACUCUGUAGACUCCAAUUUCAUUCAUUCUUACCUAAUAUAGGAAAAUCAACUUCUAUUUUAUCCCCGUAUUCCAUUUUCUAACUUAGUACUUGUUACAAGGGAGAUACCAAACCAAUGUGUUUUUUUAAAUGCCUACGUGGGAUAAUAAUGCUCGCUAAAUGUAUUUAGUACUAUUCUAAGCACUUUACAUGGAUUAACCGAUUUAAUCCUCACAACAACCACUGGGAGCAGAUUCUAUUAUUAGUCCAAUUUUGCAGAUGAAAAAACUGAAGCUAGGCAUUUGGCAUAAAUUCCCAAUGCUGGCAAGGACUUCAGACACCAUUUUAUCCAAUGGGCUUCUUUUUAAAAGGAGCAGCUGAAACGUAGGGAGGUGAUGUGAUUUCUGUCAUGCACAUUCAUUAAAACUUUUAUUAAAUGGAACUCACUGUUCACACUUAAGUUAGCCAGGUGCUUCCUCUCCCCCCCCCCACCCAUUUAGUGGUUUACACUGAAUGGGAGGACUUUUAUAGUUAUAGUCGAGGAAAAGGGUAUGUUUUAUUAGUUACAAUCAGCUUUUUUUCAUCUUAAAAAGAUUUUGAUUUUUUUAUUUCACCAGUCAUUUUAGUGCUUUUUAAUAGUUUUUAAAAACUAAUACACAGACAGACAAGCCUAGAAUGUCUUUGUCUUGGCUCAUUUUUGAAAGGACUUACCUUUCAAAAAUCGGGUCUUCUCCCUUGGAGGCCAGUGCCCUUUCUUUGCUCUGCUGUGUCGCAACAAUGAAUUUGUAAACACGGUUUCAGACAAAAUUCAGAAGCCAUGUUUCAUUGUCUUAAGUUGGCCUUUGCCAUUAAGGAAAUGAGGAAGCUUGGACAACUCAGGGAUGGAUUUCCAUCCUACAUGGUUUUUACUGCUAUUUCUGUAAUUACGUUUACAGCCUGUAUUCAGGAUUUUGUGCUUAAGAGAUAUCACCACUGAGCUUGUGUGACAUCGUUGGUUCUAGCCUAUGGGACAGCAAAGUUUUCCUGUAAAGGGCCAGACGGUAAAUAUUGUAGGCUUUGCAGUCUCUCUUUCAGCUGUUUAACUCUGUCCCAGAUAAUACAUAAACCAGUGAGCCUGGCUGUGUUGCAGUACAACUUAAUGGACACUGAUGUUUGAAUCUCAUAUCACUUUUACAUGUCACACAUAUUUUUGUUUCCAUCACAAAAAUGUUUUUUAAUGUAAAAACCAUUCUUAGCUUGCAGACCCUACAAAAACAGGCAGCACGUUGGGUAUGGCCUUGCUCUCCGCUGAGAGACACACCCCAGUGUCAUGAUCCGUGGUAAAGGACACUGCCAGUAAUGUAGCACUGGUUAAUUGUAAAAAUAUCAAUGUUUGUAAUUUGCUCAAAAAAUAAAUUAGACUUGAUUGAUCAUUAUCUUGAUAAUGCAGUCCCAUUAGAAUUUGCAUUCUAAUAUAUUUCCCGAAGUUGAUGCAGAAGAGAUGGCAGUAAAGUUGGAGCUAAUAAGCAGCAGUUUUAUUUUGCUUAAGGUGUGGAAACCUUGAACCACUUUUGCUGUUGAAUUGCUCUUCAUGGUGGGGAUUACGCUUGACCCUUGAACAUUGCAGGGAGUCAGGGGCACUGACCCUCCAGGCGGUGGAAAAUCCACCUAUAAUUCUACUAAGCCCUAUGAAUAUGCUGUUCCCAUGUCCGUGGUUCCUCCUUCCAUGGUCCUGCCCAAGGAUUUAACCACCCUUGCUUCAUGUAGUACUGUAGUAUUUACUAUUGAAAAAAGUCCGUGUGUACGUGGACCUGCAUAGUUCGAAGCUGUGCUGUUCAAGGGUCAUCUAUACAACGUUUCAGACUAUUUUAUUUUCCUCCUCUAGAUGACUCUUAGUAUGGCUGAGCACUUUUUUGUGCACUAUUUCAUUUAUUCCUCCUAGCAACUCUAUGCACUAAAUAUUUUUAUUCCUCUAUUACAGAUGAGAAAACUAGGAUUUAGGGAUAUUAAGAGAUAAGAUUGUGUCUUGUUCUUUUUUUUUCUUUUCCUUUUUUUUGUUUCCUUUUGACAGCGCCUGCAGCAUGUGGAAGUUCCCCGGCCAGGGAUGGAACCCAUACCACAGCAGUGACCGGAACUGGGGCAAUGACAACACCAUGUCCUUAACCCACUGAGCCUCAGAGAAAUUCCUCCUCUAGACAGUUUUUAAGUAUUAUCUAAAUCUAUUGCAUCCUCAGGAUGGGAGAGUUUUACACAUGUGACUAUGGCAUCACCUUGUAUAUCACAAUGGAAACAUGUUUGAGAACUGUUAACAGUAGGCCAGAUGCUGAGAUGUGUACACUUUGCUGUAUAAAAUUGUAUUGUAUGUCCUUGUUCUCUAAACAGAAUUGGUGAUGUUUAGUGAACAGUUUGAUUAUUCUCAGUGUGUUUGUAUAUACAUAUAUUUGUACAUACAUGAUGAGGUCUGUGUGUAUUUAUACAUAAAUGCAUACACACACACACACACACACACACACACACACACACACAUAUAUACACACAUUCCAUGACCAUUUGAAAGUCUUUGUCAGGGUUAUUUCUGUUUCUGAUCUCUCAAAUACUUUAAAACUCAAGAGAUAAAGCCUUGUGUGAAUUACAGGCAAAACUGCUCUUGAGUUUAUAGUCAUUUAGUUUGUAGAAAGGAUUCCUGGAUCCUUUAUUAAGCCUUGCCUCCUCUGUUCAACAUUAUAUGAUGUGUAAAGAACAUAUACAGUAUCACUGUUGAGUUUGACUUUUCUAUACUGUUAGUUCAGAAACUGAGACUAGUGUUAGCUGAGUAAAUGGCAUGUUGAUGCAACCUAUCCAGGUUUUAUAUCUAAUUAGAUUCCUUCAGUUAUUUAGUUUCAAGUUGGACUUGGUUGAUUUUAUAUUUAAUAGUUGAUGAGUAGAAAUUCCUUUUCAUGAAAAUAGUAGCUACUGUAAUUUUAUUUUAUUUAUUUUAUUUUAUUUGGCUUUUUAGGGCCACACCUGCGGCAUAUGGAGGUUCCCAGGCUAGGAGUCAAAUCAGAGCUGCAACUGCCCGCCUACGCCACAGCCACAGCAAGGAGAGAUCCGAGCCGUGUCUGUGACCUACAGCACAGCUCAUGGCAACACCGGAUCCUUAACCCACUGAGCGAGGCCGAGGAUCAGACCCACAUCCUUAUGGAUACCAGCUGGGUUCAUAACCCACUGAGCUAUGACAGGAACUCCUGUCAUUUUAAAUAUGACUAAAAGUUUGAGUUAUCAAGCUCUUUGGGAUUUUUCACUUAAAUUGUACUGAUAUCCAACUAAUGUUUCUGUCUCCAUCCCCCCCCCACCCCCGGAUAUUUGCUGUCAGGCAGGUAGCUGUUCAGUUUCAUUCUUCUGGAGAGCAGUUGAUUGUCUAAGGUUACGGGGUGGUUGAUCACUAAAGCUGUUACCAUUUCAUCAGACAGAAUAGGUCCUGGCCACCUGGAAGAGUAAAUGCAGCCUCUCCACAUGCCUUAUUUCCCCAGAUGCGCUGAUAUGCUGGAACAAUCUGGCUCCAGGGGUAUUAAUAUACUUUUUUGAGACUGUCUAUAAAAUACUCUUUUAUAAGAACUAUGCCUUUAAAUAGACAUUGAUGGGUUAUAUUUGUUUUAUAAUAAUUGUGUACCUAAUGUUCAAUCGUGAUUGAUUUUGAGAUUUAUGUAUAUUUAUAAGCUUGUCCUAUGUGGAUUUUUACUCUAAGAUGUGUGGUACCUUACUAAUAAAGACAUGGAUUUCUAUUUAUGUAGAGCAAUUGUAGCAGUAUUCCUAGAAGCUACCUAAAAGAUUGUUCUGCCCAUAUGCUAUCACAAAUACUUCUCUCUUUAGAGGACUAUGUUAGUUAUAGUUAGAAUGUAUUAACUAGAUUUAAACUUUAAAAUAUAAAUUCUCAACAUGGUUUGAAAUUCUUCCUGUUGAUGUAAUUAAAGUUUCUAAUUCCGUAUGGC